rnacentral:misc_RNA from 1 species
GAUGAAGAACGUAGCGAAAUGCGAUACUUGGUGUGAAUUGCAGAAUCCCGUGAACCAUCGAGUCUUUGAACGCAAGUUGCGCCCGAAGCCAUUAGGCCGAGGGCACGCCUGCCUGGGCGUCACACGUCGUUGCCCCCCCAUCUACUCCUUCGGGAUUGCGAGGGGCGGAUGAUGGCCUCCCGUACGCCUCGUCGCGCGGUUGGCAUAAAUGCCAAGUCCUCGGCGACGCACGCCACGACAAUCGGUGGUUGCGAAACCUCGGUUGCCCGUCGUGUGCGGUCGUCGCGCAUCGAGGGCUCGAAAAAAUUGCCGGGCUCCGGCUCGGCUUUCAACGCGACCCCAGGUCAGGCGGGGUUACCCGCUGAAUUUAAGCAUAUCAAUAAGCGGAGGA